CUCAGAUUGAACGCUGGCGGCAGGCCUAACACAUGCAAGUCGAGCGGUAGAGAGAAGCUUGCUUCUCUUGAGAGCGGCGGACGGGUGAGUAAUGCCUAGGAAUCUGCCUGGUAGUGGGGGAUAACGUUCGGAAACGGACGCUAAUACCGCAUACGUCCUACGGGAGAAAGCAGGGGACCUUCGGGCCUUGCGCUAUCAGAUGAGCCUAGGUCGGAUUAGCUAGUUGGUGGGGUAAUGGCUCACCAAGGCGACGAUCCGUAACUGGUCUGAGAGGAUGAUCAGUCACACUGGAACUGAGACACGGUCCAGACUCCUACGGGAGGCAGCAGUGGGGAAUAUUGGACAAUGGGCGAAAGCCUGAUCCAGCCAUGCCGCGUGUGUGAAGAAGGUCUUCGGAUUGUAAAGCACUUUAAGUUGGGAGGAAGGGCAGUUACCUAAUACGUAUCUGUUUUGACGUACCGACAGA
rnacentral:rRNA from 1 species